rnacentral:rRNA from 1 species
AUUUGCUUAUUGCACCACAUGUGUUUUUCUUUGAAACAAACUUGCUUUGGCGGUGGGCCCAGCCUGCCGCCAGAGGUCUAAACUUACAACCAAUUUUUUAUCAACUUGUCACACCAGAUUAUUACUUAAUAGUCAAAACUUUCAACAACGGAUCUCUUGGUUCUCGCAUCGAUGAAGAACGCAGCGAAAUGCGAUACGUAAUAUGAAUUGCAGAUAUUCGUGAAUCAUCGAAUCUUUGAACGCACAUUGCGCCCUCUGGUAUUCCGGAGGGCAUGCCUGUUUGAGCGUCGUUUCUCCCUCAAACCGCUGGGUUUGGUGUUGAGCAAUACGACUUGGGUUUGCUUGAAAGACGGUAGUGGUAAGGCGGGAUCGCUUUGACAAUGGCUUAGGUCUAACCAAAAACAUUGCUUGCGGCGGUAACGUCUACCACGUAUAUCUUCAAACUUUGACCUCAAAUCAGGUAGGACUACCCGCUGAACUUAAGCAUAUCAAUAAGGCGGGAGGAAGGAUUGCCUACAUG